rnacentral:rRNA from 1 species
ACGUUGGCGGCGUGGAUUAGGCAUGCAACUCGAGCGAGGAAAGUUGUAGCAAUACGGCUUAUUCGAGCGGCGUAAGGGGCAGUAAUACCUGGGAACGUACCCUUUGUCGGGGAUAGCUGCUGGAAACGGCGAGUAGUACCCGAUGAACUCGAGAGAGCAAAGGCUUGCCGCCGGAGGAGCGGCCCAGGCGAUAUUAGCUAGUUGGUGGGGUAAUGGCCUACCAAGGCUUAGAUGUCUAGCGGGUGUGAGAGCACGACCCGCGCCACUGGCACUGAGACACUGGCCAGACACCUACGGGUGGCUGCAGUCGAGAAUCUUCGGCAAUGGGCGAAAGCCUGACCGAGCGACGCCGCGUGCGGGAUGAAGGCCUUCGGGUUGUAAACCGCUUUGGUCCGAAAGAAAGGGCAACUUGAUCGAUCGGAGAAACAAGGACGGGCUAAGUUCGUGCCAGCAGCCGCGGUAAGACGAACCGUCCAAACGUUAUUCGGAAUCACUGGGCUUAAAGGGCGCGUAGGCGGCCGAGCGGGUCACGGGUGAAAUCCCCCAGCUUAACUGGGGAACUGCCCUUGAUACCACUGCGGCUCGAGGAAGGAAGGGGUCAUGGGAACUGUCGGUGGAGCGGUGAAAUGCGUUGAUAUCGACAGGAACGCCUGUGGCGAAAGCGCAUGACUGGUCCUUUUCUGACGCUGAGGCGCGAAAGCCAGGGGAGCAAACGGGAUUAGAUACCCCGGUAGUCCUGGCCUUAAACGAUGAGAACUAGGUAGUGGGUCCGACCUGGGCACACUGCCGAAGCGAAAGUCUUAAGUUCUCCGCCUGGGGAGUAUGGUCGCAAGGCUGAAACUCAAAGGAAUUGACGGGGCUCACACAACGGUGGAGCAAGUGGCUAAUUCGAGGCUACGCGAAGAACCUUACCCAGGCUUGACAUGUGCGAAAGCGCCAAGUGUACCCUGCGGAAACGUAGGGGAACCUCGCAAGAGGGGACUUGGUACAGGUGCUGCAUGGCUGUCGUCAGCUCGUGUCGUGAGAUGUCGGGUUAAGUCCCAUAACGAGCGCAACCCCUGUUGUUAGUUGCCAUCAAGUUAAGUUGGGCACUCUAGCAAGACUGCCUACGCAAGUAGAGAGGAAGGAGGGGACGACGUCAAGUCAUCAUGGCCCUUACGCCUAGGGCAACACACGUCAUACAAUGGCCGGUACAGAGGGCUGCCAACCCGCGAGGGGGAGCUAAUCUCAGAAAACCGGUCGUAGUCCGGAUCGCAGUCUGCAACUCGACUGCGUGAAGUCGGAAUCGCUAGUAAUCGCGGAUCAGCUUGCCGCGGUGAAUACGUUCCCGGGUCUUGUACACACCGCCCGUCACACCAUGGGAGCGGGUUCUGCCAGAAGUAGUUAGCCUAACCGCAAGGAGGGCGAUUACCACGGCAGGGUUCGUGACUGGGGUGAAGUC